GCUUAACACAUGCAAGUCGAGCGCCCUGCUUGCAGGGAGCGGCAGACGGGUGAGUAACGCGUGGGAACGUGCCUAUUGGUUCGGAAUAGCCCCGGGAAACUGGGUUUAAUACCGAAUGUGCCCUUCGGGGGAAAGAUUUAUCGCCAAUAGAUCGGCCCGCGUUAGAUUAGCUAGUUGGUGGGGUAAAAGCUUACCAAGGCUACGAUCUAUAGCUGGUCUGAGAGGAUGAUCAGCCACACUGGGACUGAGACACGGCCCAGACUCCUACGGGAGGCAGCAGUGAGGAAUCUUGGACAAUGGGGGAAACCCUGAUCCAGCCAUGCCGCGUGAGUGAAGAAGGCCCUAGGGUUGUAAAGCACUUUCAGUAGGGAGGAAAAAGCACGGUUAAUACCCGUGUCAUAUGACGUUACCUACAGAAGAAGUACCGGCUAACUCCGUGCCAGCAGCCUCGGUAAGACGGAGGAUGCAAGUGUUAUCCGGAAU
rnacentral:rRNA from 1 species